UACCUUGGAAGUUCUGUGAAAGAAUGGGGACAUCUCAGCCUUCAUCUCUCUGCUUUCAUUUCAGGGAAUUCAGUGAAAGGAGUAAAUCUUGGCUUUCUGACUCCUAACCUGUUUUCAUCCAGACAUCCAUACCCUGCUGCUGCAGAACUGCUAUCAUAAAUUAGACUAUGCCAGAGCUGUACCAAGAGGAAGAAAAAUACAUUUCCUACACCCUGCCUUUCAUUCUGAGGAUUCUGCAGUCUGAGUACCCGAUAAGCAAUGCCUGAGUUAUUCCUUUAUAUGGGGCUACUGCACACUGGAAACAGCUGCUGUCAGCAAAAACAGCCUAUCUGAAAACCUACAAAGCUUCACAAGUCUUAACAGCUUAACA
rnacentral:lncRNA from 1 species